UACGUAGGGGGCAAGCGUUGUCCGGAAUCAUUGGGCGUAAAGCGCGUGUAGGCGGCUCGAUAAGUCUGCUGUGAAAGUCCAAGGCUCAACCUUGGGAUGCCGGUGGAUACUGUCGAGCUCGAGUCCGGGAGAGGAAAGCGGAAUUCCGUGGUGUAGCGGUGAAAUGCGUAGAUAUCAGGAGGAACACCUGCGGUGUAGACGGCUUUCUGGACCAUUGCUGACGCUGAGACACGAAAGCGUGGGUAGCAAACAGG
rnacentral:rRNA from 1 species